CUGACCCCUAACCUAACUAAACUGAGAUGGUGAGGUAACCCCUGACCUAACUAUACUGAGAUGGAGAGGUAACUCCUGACCCCUAACCUAACUAUACUGAGAUGUAGAGGUAACCCCUGAACCCUGACCUAACUAUACUGAGAUGGCGAGGUAAGCCCUGACUCCCAACCUAACUAUACUGAGAUGGAGCGGUAACCCCUGACCCCUGACCUAACUAUACUGAGAUGGUGAGGUAACCCCUGACCCCUAACCUAACUAAACUGAGAUGGUGAGGUAACCCCUGACCCCUAACCUAACUAAACUGAGAUGGUGAGGUAACCCCUGACCCCUAACCUAACUAAACUGAGAUGGUGAGGUAACCCCUGACCUAACUAUACUGAGAUGGAGAGGUAACUCCUGACCCCUAACCUAACUAUACUGAGAUGUAGAGGUAACCCCUGAACCCUGACCUAACUAUACUGAGAUGGCGAGGUAAGCCCUGACUCCCAACCUAACUAUACUGAGAUGGUGAGGUAACCCCUGACCCCUAACCUAACUAAACUGAGAUGGUGAGGUAACCCCUGACCUAACUAUACUGAGAUGGCGAGGUAAGCCCCCACUCCCAACCUGACUAUACUGAGAUGAAGAACUAACCCCUGACCCCUAACCAAACUAUACUGAGAUGGAGCGGUAACCCCUGACCCCUGACCUAACUAUACUGAGAUGGAGAGGUAACUCCUGACCCCUAACCUAACUAUACUGAGAUGGAGAGGUAACCCCUGACCCCUGACCUAACUAUACUGAGAUGGAGAGAUAUCUCCUGACUCCUGACCUAACUAUUCUGAGAUGGAGAGGUAACCCCUGACCCCUGACCUAACUCUCCUGAGAUGGAGAGGUAACCCCUGACCUAACUAUACUGAGAUGGAGAGGUAACCCCUGACCUAACUAUACUGAGAUGGAGCAGUAACCCCUGACCCCUGACCUAACUAUACUGAGAUGGAGCGGUAACCCCUGACCCCUGACCUAACUAUACUGAGAUGGAGAGAUAUCUCCUGACUCCUGACCUAACUAUUCUGAGAUGGAGAGGUAACCCCUGACCCCUGACCUAACUCUCCUGAGAUGGAAAGGUAACCCCUGAUCCCUAGCCAAAAUAUACUGAGAUGGAAAGGUAACCCUUGACCCCUGAUCUAACUGAUCUAACUAUACUGAGAUGAAGAACUAACCCCUGACCCCUAACCAAACUAUACUGAGAUAGAAAGGUAACCCUUGACCCCUAAUCUAACAAAAUACUUAGAUGGAGAGGUAACCCCUGACCCCUGACCUAACUAUACUGAGAUGGAGAGGUAACCUCUGACCCCUGACCUAACUAUACUGAGAUGGCGAGGUAAGCCCCCACUUCCAACCUGACUAUACUGAGAUGGAGCGGUAACCCGUAACCCCUGACCUAACUAUACUGAGAUGGUGAGGUAACCCCUGACCCCUAACCUAACUAAACUGAGAUGGUGAGGUAACCCCUGACCUAACUAUACUGAGAUGGAGAGGUAACCCCUGACCCCUGACGUAACUAUACUGAGAUGGAGAGGUAACCUCUGACCCCUAACCUAGCUCUACUGAAAUGGAAAGGUAACCCUUGACCCCUAAUCUAACAAAAUGCUGAGAUGGAGAGGUUACCCCUGACCCCUAACCAAACUAUACUGAGAUGGAGCGGUAACCCCUGACCUAACUAUACUGAUAUUGGGAGGUAACCCCUGACCUAACUAUACUGAGAUGGAGAGGUAACCCUUGACCCCUAAUCUACCUAUACUGAGAUGGAGAGGUAACCCCUGACCCCUAACCUAACUAUACUGAGAUGGAGAGGUAACCCCUGACCUAACUAUACUGAGAUUGGGAGGUAACCCCUGACCCCUGACCUAACUAUACUGAGAUGGAGCGGUAAACCCUGACCUCUAACCUAACUAUACGGAGAUGUAGAGGUAACCCCUGACCUAACGAUAGUGAGAUGGUGAGGUAACCCCUGACCUAACGAUAGUGAGAUGGUGAGGUAACCCGUGACCCCUAACCUAACUAUACUGAGAUGGAGAGGUAACUCCUGACCCCUAAUCUAACUAUACUGAGAUGGAAAGGUAACCCCUGACCCCUAACCUAACUAUACUGAGAUGGAGAGGUAACCCCUGAUUUAACUAUACUGAGAUGGAGAGGUAACCCUUGAACCCUAACCUAACUAUACUGAGAUGGAAAGGUAACCCUUGACCCCUAAUCUAACAAAAUACUGAGAUGGAGAGGUAACCCUUGACCCCUAACCUAACUAUACUGAGAUGGAUAGGUAACCCUUGACCCCUAAUCUAACAAAAUACUGAGAUGGAGAGGUAACCCCUGACCUAACUAUACUGAGAUGGAGAGGUAACCCCUGACCUAACUAUACUGAGAUGGAGAGGUAACUCCUGACCCCUAAUCUAACUAUACUGAGAUGGAGAGGUAACCCUUGAACCCUAACCUAACUAUACUGAGAUGGAAAGGUAACCCUUGACCCCUAAUCUAACAAAAUACUGAGAUGGAGAGGUAACCCCUGACCUAAUUAUACUGAGGUUGAAAGGUAACCCUGACCCCUAACCAAACUAUCCUGAGAUGGAAAGGUAUCUCCUGACCCCUGACCUAACUAUACUGAGAUGGAGUGCUAACUCCUGACCCCUGACCUAACUAUACUGAGAUGGAGCGGUAACCCCUGACCUAACUAUACUGAGAUGGAGAGGUAACCCCUGACCCCUGACCUAACUAUACUGAGAUGGAGCGGUAACCCCUGACCCCUAAUCUAACUAUACUGAGAUGGAGAGGUAACCCCUGAUGUAACUAUACUGAGAUGGAGAGGUAACCCUUGAACCCUAACCUAACUAUACUGAGAUGGAAAGGUAACCCUUGACCCCUAAUCUAACAAAAUACUGAGAUGGAGAGGUAACCCUUGACCCCUAACCUAACUAUACUGAGAUGGAAAGGUAACCCCUGACCCCUGACCUAACUAUACUGAGAUGGAGAGAUAUCUCCUGACUCCUGACCUAACUAUUCUGAGAUGGAGCGGUAACCCCUGACCCCUGACCUAACUAUACUGAGAUGGAGAGGUAACCCCUGACCCCUGACCUAAGUAUACUGAGAUGGGGUGGUAACUCCUGACCCCUGACCUAACUAUACUGAGGUGGUGAGGUAACCCGUGACCCCUAACCUAACUAUACUGAGAUGGAGAGGUAACUCCUGACCCCUAAUCUAACUAUACUGAGAUGGAAAGGUAACCCCUGACCCCUAACCUAACUAUACUGAGAUGGAGAGGUAACCCCUGAUGUAACUAUACUGAGAUGGAGAGGUAACCCUUGAACCCUAACCUAACUAUACUGAGAUGGAAAGGUAACCCUUGACCCCUAAUCUAACAAAAUACUGAGAUGGAGAGGUAACCCUUGAACCCUAACCUAACUAUACUGAGAUGGAAAGGUAACCCUUGACCCCUAAUCUAACAAAAUACUGAGAUGGAGAGGUAACCCUUGACCCCUAACCUAACUAUACUGAGAUGGAUAGGUAACCCUUGACCCCUAAUCUAACAAAAUACUGAGAUGGAGAGGUAACCCCUGACCUAAUUAUACUGAGGUUGAAAGGUAACCCUUGACCCCUAACCAAACUAUCCUGAGAUGGAAAGGUAUCUCCUGACCCCUGACCUAACUAUACUGAGAUGGAGAGGUAACUCCUGACUCCUAACCUAACUAUACUGAGAUGGAGCGGUAACCCCUGACCUAACU